AGAGUUUGAUCCUGGCUCAGAUUGAACGCUGGCGGUAUGCUUAACACAUGCAAGUCGAACGGAAACGAUACUAGCUUGCUAGUAGGCGUCGAGUGGCGGACGGGUGAGUAACGCGUAGGAAUCUGCCUGAUAGUGGGGGAUAGCCCGAAGAAAUUCGGAUUAAUACCGCAUAAUCUAUUCGUAGUAAAGUGGGGGACUUUCGAGCCUCACGCUAUCAGAUGAGCCUGCGUAAGAUUAGCUUGUUGGUGGGGUAAAAGCCCACCAAGGCGACGAUCUUUAGCUGGUCUGAGAGGAUGAUCAGCCACAUCGGGACUGAGACACGGCCCGAACUCCUACGGGAGGCAGCAGUGGGGAAUAUUGGACAAUGGGGGCAACCCUGAUCCAGCAAUACCGCGUGUGUGAAGAAGGCCUGAGGGUUGUAAAGCACUUUCAAUUGUGAAGAAAAGUUAGCGGUUAAUAACCGUUAGCCUUGACGUUAACUUUAGAAGA
rnacentral:rRNA from 1 species